UAUCCAAAUUUGAGAUCCCUCGGAGCAGUAUAACUCCAGAAAUCCAGGUAUGAUGAAUGACUGGUUAUUAUUUUUCUGUCAACCCGUCAGAUUUGUUGUGAGCUUCGAAACUCCAUUUUCUCUUGUUCAGAUUGGUAUGCUUUCUUCAUUGAAGUUGUUCCUCAGCUCGUGAACUACAACAUAUCCAAAUUUGAGAUCCCUCGGAGCAGUAUAACUCCAGAAAUCCAGGUAUGAUGAAUGACUGGUUAUUAUUUUUCUGUCAACCCGUCAGAUUUGUUGUGAGCUUCGAAACUCCAUUUUCUAUUGUUCAGAUCGGCAUGCUUUCUUCCUUGAAGUUGUUCCUCAUCGUCUCUUUCAUAACAUAUCAAAAAUUCAGAAUGAACUAAUGGUUAAAUAUUUCCAGAUCUUUGAAACAUCACAGCAGCUUCGAAAUCUGCAAGAAUCCGACUGUCAUGUUUGGAGCUUCAACACUUUAAUUUCCGUCGCUCAAACAGAAAUGGUUCCUUCUUGAAAGUUGUUCAUAUGCUCAAGAACUAUAGGGUGUCCAAAAUUCAACUCCAUUGGAGAAGAGCAGAGGUUGCAGAAAUUUGAUAGAUGAAAGGAGGCGGAAGAGGGGAGAGAGAGAAAAAGUCUCUUGGGUUGGAUUUCUAUUUUGGGGGCAGAUUCCAAUUUUUGUAGCACCUUCAUUAUUGAUGAAUUGCUUGUACUUUUGUCCAUUAUGAAACUUGGGACUUUGGCUUGUUGUUGGAUCUAUUAUAAUAUGUUUGGGAACAUAUAUAAGUGAAUAAAUAAGAAGGAAAAUUUU
rnacentral:lncRNA from 1 species